AUCCAGCUGACGAGUUCCAAAUAGGCCGAAAUACGCAUCUAACUGGAU
rnacentral:hammerhead_ribozyme from 1 species